AUUGAACGCUGGCGGCAUGCCUUACACAUGCAAGUCGAACGGCAGCACGGGUGCUUGCACCUGGUGGCGAGUGGCGAACGGGUGAGUAAUGCAUCGGAACGUGCCCUGAAGUGGGGGAUAACGUAGCGAAAGUUACGCUAAUACCGCAUAUUCUGUGAGCAGGAAAGCAGGGGAUCGCAAGACCUUGCGCUUUAGGAGCGGCCGAUGUCGGAUUAGCUAGUUGGUGAGGUAAAGGCUCACCAAGGCGACGAUCCGUAGCGGGUCUGAGAGGAUGAUCCGCCACACUGGGACUGAGACACGGCCCAGACUCCUACGGGAGGCUG
rnacentral:rRNA from 1 species